rnacentral:rRNA from 1 species
UAGUCCACGCCGUAAACGAUGGUUACUAGCUGUUCGGAACUUGUUCUGAGUGGCUAAGCGAAAGUGAUAAGUAACCCACCUGGGGAGUACGUUCGCAAGAAUGAAACUCAAAGGAAUUGACGGGGGCCCGCACAAGCGGUGGAGCGUGUGGUUUAAUUCGAUGAUACGCGAGGAACCUUACCUAGGCUAGAAUGCAUAUGGCUGUUGGCUGAAAGGUCAAUUUCCUUCGGGACUGUAUGCAAGGUGCUGCAUGGUUGUCGUCAGCUCGUGCCGUGAGGUGUUGGGUUAAGUCCCGCAACGAGCGCAACCCUUGUCUUUAGUUGCCAGCAUGUAAUGAUGGGGACUCUAAAGAGACUGCCUCCGUAAGGAGUGAGGAAGGUGGGGAUGACGUCAAAUCAUCAUGGCCUUUAUGCCCGAGGCUACACACGUGCUACAAUGGCGGAUACAAAGGGCGGCGAGUCAGCGAUGCCGAGCCAAUCCCAAAAAGUCCGUCCCAGUUCGGAUCGG